AGCAGCCGCGGUAAUACGUAGGGUGCAAGCGUUAAUCGGAAUUACUGGGCGUAAAGCGUGCGCAGGCGGUUAUAUAAGACAGAUGUGAAAUCCCCGGGCUCAACCUGGGAACUGCAUUUGUGACUGUAUAGCUAGAGUACGGCAGAGGGGGAUGGAAUUCCGCGUGUAGCAGUGAAAUGCGUAGAUAUGCGGAGGAACACCGAUGGCGAAGGCAAUCCCCUGGGCCUGUACUGACGCUCAUGCACGAAAGCGUGGGGAGCAAACAGGAUUAGAUACCCCAGUAGUCCCUGUCUCUUAUACA
rnacentral:rRNA from 1 species